rnacentral:rRNA from 1 species
GCAUUAUUUAACUGCGUUAAAGGGGAUAUCUCAAUUAUCCCUGUGCGCAGUGAUUUURCAGAAUAAGGAGUGCUUAGGGGCCAGAGUAUCAUACGGCGACUGGUGAAAUGGGAUGACCCGUGUGGGAGUAACAGAGGCGAAAGCGCUGGUCAGGGGCGAGUCCGAUGGUAAAGGACGUAGGCUAGAGGAUCGAAGACGAUUAGAGACCGUUGUAGUUCUAGCAGUAAACGAUGCCGAUGUCGUGGUGCCGAAUAAUGGCGACGCGAAAGAGAAAUCGAGUAGGGCCCUGGGGAGAGUACACGCGCAAGCGAGAAAUUUAAAGGAAAUUGACGGAAGAACACCACAAGGAGUGGAGUGUGCGGCUUAAUUUGACUCAACGCGGGACAACUUACCGGGCCCGACGACCGUAUGAGUGUAACACACGAUAGGUCGAAGAGUGGUGCAUGGCCGUUAACGACGAGUGGAGUGAUCUUUGGGUUAAGUCCGUAAAUUAGUGAGACCUCAGCCGUAAGGGACAGGUGCGCAAAGCACAGGAAGGAUGGGUCAAGGACAGGUCAGUGAUGCCCUUAGAUGGUCCGGGCUGCACGCGCACUACAGUGGUCGCCGAAAUUACCUGAUAAUUUUAAAGGCGAUCGAGAGGAAAUGAGCUUUGUAAGAGGCUCAGGAACGAGGAAUUGCUAGUAAUCG